rfam:Canis lupus familiaris chromosome 32, whole genome shotgun sequence.
AGCUUCAUGCAGUGGCAGUAUCACAGCCAAUGAGGUUUAUCUGAGGUGCGAUUACUGCUAACUGAAAACUUUUCCAAUAUGAUGUACAAGUGCAAUGACAAAUAUUUUCUUUAGUACAAAAAUCAAUACAGUAAUUGU